CAACAAGCUCACAACUCUCUUUUUGAUAUCAAUACCUAGAGAAAACAACUUUGCGCUGGACUAUCCGCCAAACUGUUGCUGAAGCCCGACGACUUUCCAACAUGACUUGGUUAUGUUCAAGAGUCAGAAGUGCAAGCUGGACCGUCUUGCCUGCAUGCAUAAGAUCACCGAUGUCUGGAGUUGCCAAUAGCCUUUUCCACG